rnacentral:misc_RNA from 1 species
UCUCCGUUGGUGAACCAGCGGAGGGAUCAUUACAGAGUAUUACACUCCCAACCCUUUGUGAACGCACCUGUUGCCUGGGCGGUAGCCCCCGGUGGAGGGAUGGGCCUCGGCCUGCCGCCUCCCCGGGGCCCGCCAGGAGACUAGACUCUGUAGAACGUAGGCAGUCUUAGUGAGAUGACAAUGCAAGUCAAAACUUUCAACAACGGAUCUCUUGGUUCUGGCAUCGAUGAAGAACGCAGC